AAUGGGAUUUCUCCACUCUGAGCACAGACCACGCUCUGAGCAGGCUCUCUGACCUGUCCAUGCAGAAAAGGCUACAGGUGACCCACGUUCAAAGAGCUGCAAAGCAUCCUCCCUUGCUUUCAUCCCACAUGAACCCUCUGGUGUCUCAUAUCAGACUUGGAGCAGAGCAGAGCUCCUCACAGAAGGUUUCAUUAAGGCUGGAAAAGACCUCUGAGAUCCCCAAUCCCAAUCCAUCCACCACGCCCAUUGACCACGUCCCCCAUUGUCACAUCUCUAAGGUCCUUUAACACCUCCAGGGGCGGUGACUCCACCACUCCUCUGGGCAGCCUGUGCCACUAUAUGCAAACAUACCCUCAGCAACCUCACUGCAGCCCCAUUUGGCAAUAUCCUGCUCAAGGAGAAGGUCAAAGCUGCCUCGUGACACACUACAGCUGCACCAUCUAUGGUGACAUCAGGAUAGCAGAGUAGAUUGCUGGCUGGGAUGGUAAUGGAAAGCUCCUGGGAAAGCCCAUGCAGAGGACUACAACCAGCAGCCAGAGAGAGAAGAUAUCUCCCAUAUCAACCCUGCUCCAUCAUAACCACCAUCGCAAGGGAGAAGUCCUCAAGCAGGGGGACAGUGUGACCUUCAGGCAAAACAAUUUCGUUAGGAGGUUGAAGGACACAUCACUAAACAUGAGAAAGCUGGAGCCAACUCUCUUGCAUCCUUGCCCUGGGCUGGACCAGCAGUUGGAGACAUAGGAGGACAUGAAGAUGCUUUAAUUAGAUAAUCUUUAACCUUCCAAUCAACUAUUCUAUGGUUCUGUGCUGA